AAUAAUUUAUUUGAUGGUUUCUUACUACAUGGAUAACUGUAGUAAUUCUAGAGCUAAUACAUGCAUAAAGUCCCGACUCUCGCGGGGAGGGAUGUAUUUAUUAGAUAAAAAACCAAUGCGGCCUCUGGCCGGUUUUGUGGUGAAUCAUAGUAACUUUUCGAAUCGCAUGGCUUCACGCCGGCGAUAGUUCAUUCAAAUUUCUGCCCUAUCAGCUUUCGACGGUAGUGUAGUGGACUACCGUGGCGUUAACGGGUAACGGAGAAUUAGGGUUCGAUUCCGGAGAGGGAGCCUGAGAAACGGCUACCACA
rnacentral:rRNA from 1 species